AGCACACGUGAAUGACCUAAAGAUCUUAUACGAAUGCAGAUUUUGAUUCUGGAGGUCUUGGAUGGGCCCGACAGUCUGCAUUUCUAAUAAGCUCCCAGGUUGUGGCCAUGUUGCUGGUGCAUGAACCAUAAUAUGACUGGCUAGGCAUUAACCUUCGUUUUCAGGCAAGACUUUGGCUGUCUACUGAUACAAUUCUCUCUUCUUUUUUAGAAAAAUAUCCAACCCGAGCAGGAUAAAACUGAUCAUCCUGAGGAUAUUGCCCUUGGAGUUAAUUUUUUGAGAGAAAUAAAACAAUAAACAUCAUAAGACACAAACCCCAAGCAACUGAUCUCACUGUUAAAAUCCAACCUGAGAACAAUGGAAUGGAUUGCGCUCUCUAGAAGAAAAUUCUGAGAAAAAAAUUCAUAUGCAAGAAAUUUACUGGGGAGUGCUCUCAGACUCUGAACUGUGAAGAAAAAGGAUUGGACAGCAUGUACCUCUGGAGUCCUGAGCCACAAAGUAAGAAACUCAGCUACCCUGAUGUUGCCAUGUUAAAGAGACUAUCUGGAAAAGCCACAAAAAGAUAGAGAAAGAUGCUAAAGGGGCCUCUGCUGUUCUGGCCCCCACCUAAUUGAGCCAUCAGACAGCAUGAACCAUCAGAUAUAUGAAUGAACAAGGCUUCAGUCUAUUCAUAUCAACAUGAGGAACAUCA
rnacentral:lncRNA from 10 species